rnacentral:rRNA from 1 species
UACGUAGGGGGCUAGCGUUGUCCGGAAUCAUUGGGCGUAAAGCGCGUGUAGGCGGCCCGGUAAGUCCGCUGUGAAAGUCGGGGGCUCAACCCUCGGAUGCCGGUGGAUACUGUCGGGCUCGAGUACGGAAGAGGCGAGUGGAAUUCCUGGUGUAGCGGUGAAAUGCGCAGAUAUCAGGAGGAACACCGGUGGCGAAGGCGGCAUCCUGGACCAAAACUGACGCUGAAUAGCGAAAGCCAGGGGAGCAAACGGG